rnacentral:rRNA from 1 species
UACGUAGGUGGCAAGCGUUGUCCGGAUUUAUUGGGUUUAAAGGGUGCGUAGGCGGCCCUGUAAGUCAGCGCUGAAAUAUCCCGGCUUAACCGGGAGGGUGGCAUUGAUACUGCAGGGCUUGAGUUAAGUUGAGGUUGGCGGAAUUGACGGUGUAGCGGCGAAAUGCUUAGAUAUCGUCAAGAACACCGAUAGUGAAGACAGCUAACUAAGCUUUAACUGACGCUGAGGCACGAAAGUGUGGGGAUCAAACAGG